ensembl:lncRNA
AGAUGAUGCCACAUCUGGUCCAGCUGAUGGAAGGUCUUGAAGUUCUCUGACUGGCCUCGACUGAAGAUGGUCGUCUCACUGGAUUUAAGAUGCACAAUGAGGGACGUCUGCAGAGACUGAGAAAGAGUCUCACCACAUCCUGACAUGAGGAAAAAGACUUUAUUGAAGACUGCAAUGAGAAAAACUAUCAGACAGCAGACGGCAUGCAUUCAAGUUGAGCUCUGAACAUUUGAUCUGGAACAGGAAUUCAAUAACGGCAGCAUGAGCUUCAUUUCAGUUUGUAGCUGCUGAAUUCAUGGAUGAAUCAUCUGGCACUAGAGAAGAAGACCAUCAAACAUCCAUGUCAGCUGAUGGAGGUCCAAGAGUCUCACCGAACAACCAACCUACAGAGUGAAGACCUCAAAUCUGAUUGGACGGCCUCCUAUUCAGCCACGUGUCAACAAAUGCCUCUAAGUUGAUUUGUUUUCUAAAAUAAAUCUAGUUUGAGUCCUAAUCUAUGCCUGUGUGUUUGCUUCUUUACACCACUGUUAACAGUUUAGGCUGUUAGAUUGUUCCAGAUAAGACAAGUACAAGAUUCUUCAGAGCCGUUCUACCACGAGCCUGACAGGAAGAACUCCAACAGCUACUGAAUGUUCCUGUGGUUCCCUCAAGGCUACAGGAGGAGUCCUACGAGGACGAGCCGGUCCACCUGAUGGCGGCCAGUCGC